GACGUAGGAGGCAAGCGUUGUCCGGAUUCAUUGGGCGUAAAGAGCGUGUAGGCGGCCAGGUAGGUCCGUUGUGAAAACUCGAGGCUCAACCUCGAGACGUCGAUGGAAACCAUCUGGCUAGAGUCCGGAAGAGGAGAGUGGAAUUCCUGGUGUAGCGGUGAAAUGCGCAGAUAUCAGGAAGAACACCUAUGGCGAAGGCAGCUCUCUGGGACGGUACUGACGCUGAGACGCGAAAGCGUGGGGAGCGAACAGG
rnacentral:rRNA from 1 species